GCAAUUUUAGUUUAUUGAAAAUAACAGUUUGUCUCACUGUAGAUGGCUUUGGCCAAGUUGCU
rnacentral:tRNA from 1 species